rnacentral:tRNA from 1 species
UGUUCUGUGGCUUAGUCGGUUAAGUGAUACGGAGUCGUGGGUUCGAAUCCCACCAAAACAA